GUUGACACGCUGGCUCUCGUCCGAUCAACGAAGUUAACCAACACUGAACGUGGUCAGUAUCUAGAUGGGUGACCGUCGGGAAAUACCAGGUGCUGUAAG